rnacentral:rRNA from 1 species
UUCCUUGUGUGACGAGUGGGACACGUGAGAGUAGUGUGGGGAGAUGUGCCAGAUAGGGGGGGAUCCCCUGUGGAAAGGGGGGCUAAUACCGCAUAACCUCACAAGACCAAAGAGGGAGACCCUCGGCCCUCUCUCUAUCAUAUGCCCCCAUGGGGUUUUAUCUAGUGCGGGGGGUAGGGGCCCCCCUACGACAAUAUCCCUAUGUGGUCAGAGAAGAAGACCACCCACUGUGGAUGUGACACACGGCCCACACUCCUACGGGGGGCAACAGUGGAAAAUAGUGCACAGUGGGCGCACGCGUGAUGCACCCGUGCCGCGUGUAUGAAAAGGGUCUUCGGUUUGUAAAGUAUUUUCCGCGGAGAAGAGGGCGGUGGGUUUAAUUCCCGCCGAUAGUGACUUUCCCCGCAAAAAAAACCCCGGAUAUCUCCGUGCCAACCCCCGCGGUAAUACAGAGUGUGCAAGCUUUACUCAGAUAUAGUGGGUAUAGAGCACACGCGCGCGCUGUGAUGACUCAGAUGUGAUCUCCCCGGUCUUACCGUGGAAUCUGCUUUUAAAUGUGACGCGCGUGACUCUCGUAGAGGGGGAUAGAACUCGAUGUGUAGCUGUAAUAUGCAUAGAUAUCUGGGGAAAACAGGGGGGGCGAGCGCGCCCCCUGUGCAAA